UCCAUCAUGGUGUAGUGGCUAACAUUAUCGCCUCUCAUUAUCGGAUGCGCGAUAGCCCAGGGUUCGAUUCCCUGUGAUGGAA
rnacentral:tRNA from 1 species